UCCAUGUAAUCUGUUUGUCGAGUUGACUUGCCAUGUGGAAAAUAAAAUUUAAAAAAUAACUAAAUAUUCAAAGCAACAUCCGAACCUUUCUCUAUCCUUCGUCUGUCUCUCUCAUCCUUGUCUCUCCUUCACAUCUUAGCCCCAAAUCAUCAUCAUCAUCAUCAUCAACACACCAAAAUUGGCAGCAACAACACCUACUUCCAUUUUCUUUCUACUAAUUUCUUCUUACACCACUCCAUCCCAUCAAUUCUUAACCAAGCUCCACACAACCACCACCACUUCCGACGGCAACGACAGCGAAGGCUGCAAAUUCCCUAUUACAAGAUCUUAAAGUCGAAAGAGAAAACAUGUUUGCUCGCAAAUGAGAGAGGAUAUGAGAAAAUUGGUGGCUGUCAAGUCAAUUAAGAAUUCAACAAGGAAAAGGGGCAGAUCUGCAAUGAAAGAUAGGAUGAAGAAGACUCAAAUUCCAGACAGUUGCUUACUCACUCCACCCCCACCAUCAAACCCUUCAGUUUCUCCCAAAUAAUUCCUCCAUGAUUGAAUAUCCCAACUCUAAAGAUUCGAGCAUGUGUUCUAGGUUUGCCAAUAGUAAACUAAUUGUUGAACCAGAACCAUUCAGUUUCCCCAAAUAGAUGCCUCCAUGAUUGAAUAUUUGGUUUUUUAAUAAAUUUACAUGACUUAAAAAAGGAAUAUUUGUUCUGCAAUUUAUUUUACCAUCGGAAUCCUUGGUUGAUGAUGGUGUUUAUUUUACCAUUGGAUUGUUGAUGGUGGUGGUUAUGAAUGAUGGUGACGGGCGAUGGAUGUUGUGAGGAAGAUGAAGGUUUUUUUUUCUUUGUCUUUUAUCUGGAAAAAGGAAUAAGGAAUAUGGUAAUAAUAAUAAUAAACAUAAUCCCUCCAUUUCAAAAUAUUAGAUAAUUUAAUAUUUUUAAAAUAAAUUUAAAUAUUUAAAAAUUAAAAAAAUAAUAUGAAUUCAUUAAUUUAUAUAGAUAUAUUUGUAAAAAUUAUACAUUAAUGUAUUUAUUAUUAAUUUAUUUAAUUAAUUUAAUUAUUUGUUAUGUACAUUAAUUUAAUUUAUAUUUUGGUUAACUAUUUAUUAUAGAAUUGACAAUUG
rnacentral:lncRNA from 1 species